rnacentral:rRNA from 1 species
GUUAAGCGACUAAGCGUACACGGUGGAUGCCCUGGCAGUCAGAGGCGAUGAAGGACGUGCUAAUCUGCGAUAAGCGUCGGUGAGGUGAUAUGAACCGUUAUAACCGGCGAUUUCCGAAUGGGGAAACCCAGUGUGUUUCGACACACUAUCAUUAACUGAAUCCAUAGGUUAAUGAGGCGAACCGGGGGAACUGAAACAUCUAAGUACCCCGAGGAAAAGAAAUCAACCGAGAUUCCCCCAGUAGCGGCGAGCGAACGGGGAGGAGCCCAGAGCCUGAAUCAGUGUGUGUGUUAGUGGAAGCGUCUGGAAAGGCGCGCGAUACAGGGUGACAGCCCCGUACACAAAAAUGCACAUAUUGUGAGCUCGAUGAGUAGGGCGGGACACGUGGUAUCCUGUCUGAAUAUGGGGGGACCAUCCUCCAAGGCUAAAUACUCCUGACUGACCGAUAGUGAACCAGUACCGUGAGGGAAAGGCGAAAAGAACCCCGGCGAGGGGAGUGAAAAAGAACCUGAAACCGUGUACGUACAAGCAGUGGGAGCCUCUUUAUGGGGUGACUGCGUACCUUUUGUAUAAUGGGUCAGCGACUUAUAUUCUGUAGCAAGGUUAACCGAAUAGGGGAGCCGAAGGGAAACCGAGUCUUAACUGGGCGUUAAGUUGCAGGGUAUAGACCCGAAACCCGGUGAUCUAGCCAUGGGCAGGUUGAAGGUUGGGUAACACUAACUGGAGGACCGAACCGACUAAUGUUGAAAAAUUAGCGGAUGACUUGUGGCUGGGGGUGAAAGGCCAAUCAAACCGGGAGAUAGCUGGUUCUCCCCGAAAGCUAUUUAGGUAGCGCCUCGUGAAUUCAUCUCCGGGGGUAGAGCACUGUUUCGGCAAGGGGGUCAUCCCGACUUACCAACCCGAUGCAAACUGCGAAUACCGGAGAAUGUUAUCACGGGAGACACACGGCGGGUGCUAACGUCCGUCGUGAAGAGGGAAACAACCCAGACCGCCAGCUAAGGUCCCAAAGUCAUGGUUAAGUGGGAAACGAUGUGGGAAGGCCCAGACAGCCAGGAUGUUGGCUUAGAAGCAGCCAUCAUUUAAAGAAAGCGUAAUAGCUCACUGGUCGAGUCGGCCUGCGCGGAAGAUGUAACGGGGCUAAACCAUGCACCGAAGCUGCGGCAGCGACACUAUGUGUUGUUGGGUAGGGGAGCGUUCUGUAAGCCUGUGAAGGUGGCCUGUGAGGGUUGCUGGAGGUAUCAGAAGUGCGAAUGCUGACAUAAGUAACGAUAAAGCGGGUGAAAAGCCCGCUCGCCGGAAGACCAAGGGUUCCUGUCCAACGUUAAUCGGGGCAGGGUGAGUCGACCCCUAAGGCGAGGCCGAAAGGCGUAGUCGAUGGGAAACAGGUUAAUAUUCCUGUACUUGGUGUUACUGCGAAGGGGGGACGGAGAAGGCUAUGUUGGCCGGGCGACGGUUGUCCCGGUUUAAGCGUGUAGGCUGGUUUUCCAGGCAAAUCCGGAAAACCAAGGCUGAGGCGUGAUGACGAGGCACUACGGUGCUGAAGCGACAAAUGCCCUGCUUCCAGGAAAAGCCUCUAAGCAUCAGGUAACAUCAAAUCGUACCCCAAACCGACACAGGUGGUCAGGUAGAGAAUACCAAGGCGCUUGAGAGAACUCGGGUGAAGGAACUAGGCAAAAUGGUGCCGUAACUUCGGGAGAAGGCACGCUGAUAUGUAGGUGAAGCGACUUGCUCGUGGAGCUGAAAUCAGUCGAAGAUACCAGCUGGCUGCAACUGUUUAUUAAAAACACAGCACUGUGCAAACACGAAAGUGGACGUAUACGGUGUGACGCCUGCCCGGUGCCGGAAGGUUAAUUGAUGGGGUUAGCGGUAACGCGAAGCUCUUGAUCGAAGCCCCGGUAAACGGCGGCCGUAACUAUAACGGUCCUAAGGUAGCGAAAUUCCUUGUCGGGUAAGUUCCGACCUGCACGAAUGGCGUAAUGAUGGCCAGGCUGUCUCCACCCGAGACUCAGUGAAAUUGAACUCGCUGUGAAGAUGCAGUGUACCCGCGGCAAGACGGAAAGACCCCGUGAACCUUUACUAUAGCUUGACACUGAACAUUGAGCCUUGAUGUGUAGGAUAGGUGGGAGGCUUUGAAGUGUGGACGCCAGUCUGCAUGGAGCCGACCUUGAAAUACCACCCUUUAAUGUUUGAUGUUCUAACGUUGGCCCGUAAUCCGGGUUGCGGACAGUGUCUGGUGGGUAGUUUGACUGGGGCGGUCUCCUCCUAAAGAGUAACGGAGGAGCACGAAGGUUGGCUAAUCCUGGUCGGACAUCAGGAGG